rnacentral:misc_RNA from 1 species
GAAAUGCGAUAAGUAGUGUGAAUUGCAGAAUUCAGUGAAUCAUCGAAUCUUUGAACGCACAUUGCGCCCCUUGGUAUUCCAUGGGGCAUGCCUGUUCGAGCGUCAUUUGUACCCUCAAGCUCUGCUUGGUGUUGGGUGUUUGUCCCCGUCUCCGCGCGUGGACUCGCCCCAAAGUGAUUGGCAGCCGGCGUACUGGUCCCGGAGCGCAGCACAUGUCGCGCAAACGAGUGCCUUGGUACGGCGGCGUCCAUAAGCCCUUCUCUCACGCUCUUGACCUCGGAUCAGGUAGGGAUACCCGCUGAACUUAAGC